rnacentral:sRNA from 1 species
GGCGGCCUGGCCACUGAGCCGGGGUGCAGUGGCAGCGGGAGGGUACCUGGCGAUGGCGAUAUGAGCGGUGCAGGGGUGGCGGCUGGGACGCGGCCCCCCAGCUCGCCGACCCCGGGCUCUCGGCGCCGGCGCCAGCGCCCCUCUGUGGGCGUCCAGUCCUUGAGGCCGCAGAGCCCGCAGCUCAGGCAGAGCGACCCGCAGAAACGGAACCUGGACCUGGAGAAGAGCCUGCAGUUCCUGCAGCAGCAGCACUCGGAGAUGCUGGCCAAGCUCCAUGAGGAGAUCGAGCACCUGAAGCGGGAGAACAAGGGUGAGCCGGCGCGGGGCCCUAGGCCGGCCCUGCCUCCCCUGGCACACUCAACACUGCCGCUCCCGCAGCACAGAAACACAGCCAUCAACUCCAGCACACGCCUGGGCUCAGGGGGAACACAGGACAGUAAGCCCGCCCUGCCACGCUGAGCUGUCCCCUCCUCCCAGAGGGAGACCCGCGUGGCCCCCGGGCAGUGCCGACCCUGUCUGCCUGUCUCGUAGGGCAGCAGCAUUUCAGAUGCUGACUCCGCCAGUCCUCCCCUCUCCAGGCAGGGUCAGACACACCUCUGUUAAAAACUUUAUAGAGGGGCCCGGGCGCGGCGGCUCACGCCUGUAAUUCCAGCACUUUGGGAGGCCGAGGCGGGCGGAUCACGAGGUCAGGAGAUCGAGACCAUCCUGGCUAACACGAUCUCCAUUACAAGCUCAUAAUGAAUCAGACAUCACAGAAGAAAG